GAGGGGUGCGAAUUUUUAAGUCCAUUAUGAAAUGCGUGUACUGGUGGCACACAAGGAGGAGAGGCUUAAGAGAGAGGUUGGAAUCGGAAGACAAAUUGGCAUUCGGCAGAGGAUCUGUACCUUUUAAGUUUCGGGAACAGCGCGCUAUUACAUACAAAUGCAGUGGGAUUUUUUUGAGUUCGGUAGUGGAAUUGUUGUUUUUUUAUUUGAGGGUUAUGUUCAUCUGUCUACUAUGGAAGGAGCUUAAUACCAAUACACAAUAGCAAGCGUUAACUACACGGGGUCUCUGGGGCCCAGUUCCAGGGACACCAGAGGCAGGGUUAGCCGACUGGGUCAGCUCAGCCCCACCUACCGGUAUGUCAGCUGAAUGUACGAGUGCUGUUCUGACAGCAUCUCGUGAGGUUUGGACGAGGAAAUAGACUAGUGCUUUUACAUUGCUGCUGCUGCCUCCCUAUGCUAAUUAUGAUCCCGAUGGCGAAAUAUGUCUUUACACACUAUUAGUACAUGGUGGACCUGAACGACACAAUGAAAAAUCCCCUCAUCAGGCUGCUGCGCAAUACAGUUAUUGGGAAUGUACCAGAAUCAACGUUUCCUGGGAUGAUGAAAAGCAGAGGCGCAGUCUUCCGUUAUGUCUUAUAGUUUCUGACCUACCGCACCAUCGGAUGUAUAAACAACAAUAGACAUGGAUAUGGCCUUUGGGUACUAUACAUGUAUACACAUAACUUAAAUAAAUAUAGAGAGAAAGAAAUCUCAAAAUGUAGCGAUUGGUUUAUUGUCGUGUCAUGAGACUUUGUGGCGACUUUCGAUUGGCCGCGCGCAUAAACGCGAACGUCAUUUGUUGCAGAGGUCUAACGAUGGCUCAAUUUAGACAGCAGAAUAAUGAAAUGGUUACACUGCGGUUUGCGGGUCUGCUGUAAAUAUCCAAUUUUUAGCCUGGGCUUUAUUAAGCAUCAUAUGCAUGGUGAUGAUUUAGAAAGCAUUCCAUCUAUAUGGGAUACAUUUAAAUAUAGGUACAGGCCAAACAAGGUUGUCACUUAUUUCUAAUCAGCAGUGCCAUAAUUUAUUUUUCCCUCUAUAAUUCAACAUUUAAAAAAAAUAAAACAACAGUAGGGCGAAGGGUAUGUGAUUUUCUGCCGUUCCACCUUCCUGCACUACUUCACAGCAGUAAGAGCUGCUCUUUGAGAACAUGACCUCAUGUCACUUCAGAAAGCACACAGUGAGGUGAUGUCAUGCAUCCAAACCGAGCUUUGCAACAUGGCUGUUCAACCAUCCCCCACAGUUUCAGAGAAUCUCCUUCAUCUUGGAUGGUCAGGUAAAACACGUUUCAGGCUGCUUGGUAUCGUAUCUCGGGGAAUUUUAAUAGUCUGUGUAGCUCAACAUUUUACCACAAAUAUAAAACACAAAAGGUUCCUGUGGACACAACUGAUUUAUACAACUCCUUCAGGAUUCAUGAGCCCAAGAAAUUCAAAUAUAUAUUUCAUGCACAGCACUGCCUAAAGUGGCUACAGAUGAAAUCUUUGACAUUUUGCCGAGAAGUCUGGGAGUGGCAGCGCAAAAAAUAUUUGUGACAACAUAUGACAGC